rnacentral:rRNA from 1 species
ACUCCUACGGGAGGCAGCAGUGGGGGAAUAUUGCACAAUGGGGGGAAACCCCUGAUGCAGCCAUGCCGCGUGUGUGAAGAAGGCCUUCGGGUUGUAAAGCACUUUCAGUAGGGAGGAAGGUAGUGUAGUUAACACCUGCAUUAUUUGUACGUUACCUACAGAAGAAGCACCGGCUAACUCCGUGCCAGCAGCCGCGGUAAGUACGGAGGGUGCGAGCGUUAAUCGGUAAUUACUGGGCGUAAAGCGCAUGCAGGCGGCCUGUUAAGUCAGAUGUGAAAGCCCGGGGUCUUAACCGUCGGAAUUGCAUUUGAAACUGGCGAGGCGUACGAGUCUUAGGUAGAGGGGGUUAGAAUUUCGAGGUGUAGCGGUGAAAUGCGUAGAGAUCGUGAAGGAAUACCGAGUGGCGGAAGG